AAAUACCUAUAUAAAAUGAAAUAGUUUGGUGUACAUGUAACUCCAAUCAAAGCAUUCAAUUCUAACCGGUUCCAAUAAUUCUUUGCGAUAGCGUUCGCUUAAUUGCCAAUGUUGGAAACCUUAUGUGCCUUCACAUCCAUAAGGGUAAUAAUCAGGGAACCCUCUGUCCUCAAGCCCAGCAAUAUAUACAACUGCUUAUUAUGCGUAUAUCUUAAGGCAUAGUUCUUAUCGUCGUCAUUCCAAUUGUCGGGCAGCAACUCGGAACCCGAGUUCUCAUCCUCCUCCGUUAAAGUUUUCUAUAGGAUUACAUACAUACAAACUGCAAAUAUUUGCAUACAUUUCUGUAAAUAAUUUUCCAAACCUACAUCGUCACCCAAGCCAAUGCAACGAAAUUGAGAAUGUUUAGUCAGUACGAAAUGGGCCAAAGCAAUGAGCAAGUCAUCCUUUUUAUUGAUUUGCUUUUCUAUAGUUUUGAAAAGCAAGUUCCAGCCAUAGAAAAAAUCACUCUGGCUAGCAGACAUAAUUUCAUGAAAUCUUGAAAAUAUCUGAAUAUAAAUACUUUUUUUGCGAUCUUUA